AUUUAUCGAAUUGAAUGAACUUGUGGAUCAAAAUAGCGGUAACGUAUCGUUGAAAAUUUGAUCUUGAAUAAAAAUUUUUGAUAAUUAUUCGAUAUUAUGAAUGUAAUUUUACGCCAAGAUCCUAUUAUCUUCUUCCUUCAUACAUAUAAAUGAAUAGAUCAGAUUUCGAAUUCGACACGCAUUGCUGGCAGUACCGUUAACGACAGGUUUAUAUAUUUUUUCUUUUUUUCAGAUCAAGCGGCCUAAUUGACGAGAAUUAUUUAAUUCUCGAUUUUAACUUGUUAUACGAAUAUACGUAUAACAUAUGAACUGUAAUCUAGAGCAAGCUCAAGGAUCAAAGAAUCAUUGUGCCGCUAACAAUAGUUUUCAGUUGGUGUCAAUUAACAUUGAAUCCAUUCGCAACGUGCUAAUUAGUGCCACAAUCGGACUUCGUUCCAUCUUUUCACUCUCGUUCGGAACAAUUUUCAAGAGGAACGUAUUUAUUUCGAGAGAGAGAGAGAGAGAGAGAGAAUUUAUCGGGGAGGCAACUCGUCAAACCAAUUGUAUCUCCACGCUUUAUGAUGUUUAAUUAUCGAAAGGAGGAUCGUAUUUCAGGUUCGAGUGGCUGUGAUAAACGAUGACUGGCCACUCGAAUGUACGACGAUAAGUAAUGUCGGCGAGGAAACGUUUGCAUGAUAAAUGCAUGUAGCUACACCAAGCUAUCGAACCACGAAUGCAUAGAGGCGGACUAUGGCGUAUCGUCUUUCCAGAGCGCCUCGACCUAUUUCUCGUCUGGUUUAGAGUGAGAAAGAAAGAGAGAGAAGAAAAAAGAUAAAAGUUUUUAAACCAGUUUGACGCCAAAAGGAACGACGAUGAUGAAUAUUUUUCGACAGAAGUUAUAGUCGUUUCUUUGUCUCCUUCCUUUUUAGAUUAUUUAUUUCUUUAAUAUAAAAUCGAGCAAAGAAAAUAAAGAGGGAGCGAAUAAAUUUGCAAGAGGGUAUUUUGAUUCGCCAAGGAUCAGAAACGAAAUACGUAAACGCGGAGGAAUAAUAUUUAGAUAGACGGGUAAAGUUUGUUCGCAGCGCGGACCGAGCUGGAGAAAAUACCGAGGAAAUACUUGGAUUCGUAAAAUCGCGAGACUAAAUAUUUUAGACCUUAAUUUUCAAGGAAAUCGUAGGCACAGCGAGCAUUCCUCGAUUUCCAACGCGUGUGCUCCCGGCAUAUUCAUCACUUUCGGUAGUCGAGCCAGGUUUGUGUUUGCAAAGCGGCGAGCAAACAAGAGGACGUUUCCUUCGAAGACGUAGAAGCGUGCACAGUGGUCCGUUCCAGGGCACCACGUCACGGUGAAUGGAAACGCCGUGUUACACCUGCUUGGGGCCCCGGCCAGGAGACUGAAAGCGACACCCUGUGGAGGUGAUGGAACACAGCGAAGCUAAGCGAGUGCUCGCCUCACUCACUUCUUCUCGGGCGUUGGAAAACUCGUGGCGCUUUUUAAUUACAUCGCGACGACCACGGUGAAAGUGUUCUUCCCUUUGUCACCAACAAAAUAUUUUUCUGGUCGUCGCGUUCAUUCUGUCUGCAUGAUUCUUCGGAACGGAAUUUUUUGUUUUGGGUAGAAAAAAAUCCUCGAGUUCACUUUAAGAAGAAAAUCGAUUCGAAAUGGAAUCUUUCUCGACCGAUCGUGUUUAUUUUAUAUUAUCUGUUCUUUAAUUAAUCGACGAAGCUUCGAUCAAAAUUUUGAAGCUCAUUCAUCGAUCGAAUUUCAUCGAGAGAAGAAUCGGUCGCUUCGAGAAAAAGGGAGAAGUAGAGUUCGAGACGCGUGUUGCCGUGGGCGAGGAACGAUCGAAACUGGCGUUUCCAAGAGAUUUCGUCGGGGAACGGUGGAUCAAAGGAAGUGGAGAGCUAUUCUUAUUUUUCCAGGCAGGGAGGGAAUACACGAGGAAGCGUGAGCACUACCGGUUAACAACUAAAUUCAAGGCUUCUGACGAGCAAGAGUCCAGAAACGAAAGUUGAGGUGGAGGGAGGCCGGUCUCGUGGAGGCAACGGGAGAAAAAGAAAUGUAGCACUUAAGACGAGGAGAGUCGUCGACGUCUUGACUCUUUUUCAUCGUCAACCCUGUUCUCGUUCUCCCUUCUUACAAUCUGUUCUUCCCUUUCUUUAUUUCUCUUGCGUCGUUUUUCGAGUCGUUAUAGCAGGAGAGUUGAAGUCAAAAACGAAUUAUUUAUUUUUAGGAAAAAUCCACUCGAAUUAUAGAUUUUUUUUAAAAUUCGUGUAUUUGUUUAUUUAUCUCUCUCUCUCUCUCUCUCUUCUUUUUUUUAGCAGUAGAAGUAUCAAGAUCAUCGAGAGUAUUUUUACACCAGUUAAUUGUGAGAGCCAGGCUAUUUUAGCAUGAACAGAUGUUCAACAUAGUAUAUCGAUUUUAUUGAUGUUUAUUUUGUCCCAACGGUAGAAAAAUAUAUAAUCUCGUGAGACGUUAAAUCGAUCUUUAUAGACACUCUUCCAUCCAAAGAUGUUUCGAAACUUCUUAUUAUUAGCUUUAUAAAAUGCAUCAUAAAA